rnacentral:lncRNA from 10 species
ACAGGCUUGAGAUCUGCAGUUUCCUAGCAGAAAAGAAUGUAAGGCCAGUCCUCUGUUCAAUCAGUUGUGGUUGUCUGGGUUGUAAAUUAGUGAUAGUUCCUAUUGUUCCAGAACUUAGGAAGAGUGUAGUUUUUCUUGUAUCCAUAGGAAUUUAGGAAGUUGUUAUGCCAGCUAAAGCCUGAACCCUCAAUCUGUAGGUGUUUUUCUUUUUUUUCCCUUAACCUCAGAGUCUGUCUUCAUUGAUAAAGGUGUUUAUUUUGGUCUCUCUAAUUACAUGGUGACAAUGAAGACUAUACCAAUGCCGGUUAUUUUUAAUAUGAGAAAUUUGAGCAGCUAAUUAGUCAUCUAAGUGAAGAUAUACAGUAGGAAUUUCAAUAUACACAACUAGAAUUCAGAGGAGAGCUGUUGCCUGAAGUUAUCAGUUUGGAAGUCAUUAACACACAGAAGACAAGUGAAGCUGUGGAAUUAGAUGAAACACCACAAGAAACAGUUCUGAUGCAGAAAAAAAGGGGUCCAAGCACAAAACCUGGGCAAUUAUCAGAGAUUUGAGAAGCGAUGAGAAAACAGAGAAUAUGGAGAUGGAGCAAUGGAAGGAGGAAGACAAACGACAAGGGGUUGUAAAAUUCUGGAAAAUAUUAGGAGAAAAUGUUUAAAGACAAAAGAGGACCAACUGUGACAAAACCUCCUGGAAGUUCAAAUAAGAGAAAUCCUAUAUUUCUGCUUGACCCUCUUGUGCUUCUGCCAUCAGAUGAGAAGCACACGCAUUAUGUAAUCCGUAGAAUCAACGUGUGUGGAUGAGAGACAUGCGGUGCUAACCAGACCCAGCCUACAGCUUAUAAUGAAGUCUAUCUCUGCUCAGUCUAGAACAGCCACACCUCAGCCAACCUCAAGACAAAUUAUCAAAAUAAAUACUUUUUGCUUUAAUUCACU